rnacentral:rRNA from 1 species
AACGGGGGGGGCUGGCGAUAUUCAUCAUGGACUGGGCGUAUAGGGAUCGUAGGUGGGUAUACUCAAUUAAAAGGUGAAAGGCUCGAGUUUACUCAUGAGUGUUCUUUAAUAUUGGGUAUAGCUUGAGUGUUGAGGAAGUUCGCGGUAUUCUUGGUGGAGAAGGUAACAUGCUGUGAUAUCGAUGAAGACUACCUGAGGCCAAAGGCGGCGUUCUACUUUUUAUACUGACACUGAGGAUCUAAAGUAUGGGCGCAAACAGG